rnacentral:rRNA from 1 species
CCUACGGGGGGCAGCAGUGAGGAAUAUUGGUCAAUGGGCUUACGCCUGAACCACCCAAGUCGCGUGAGGGAAGACUGCCCUAUGGGUUGUAAACCUCUUUUGUCAGGGAGCAACGCCGGCUACGUGUAGCCGGACUGAGAGUACCUGAAGAAAAAGCAUCGGCUAACUCCGUGCCAGCAGCCGCGGUAAUACGGAGGAUGCGAGCGUUAUCCGGAUUUAUUGGGUUUAAAGGGUGCGUAGGCGGAAUGCCAAGUCAGCGGUAAAAUCGCGGGGCUCAACCUCGCUCCGCCGUUGAAACUGGCGUUCUUGAGGGGGCGAGAAGUAUGCGGAAUGCGUGGUGUAGCGGUGAAAUGCAUAGAUAUCACGCAGAACUCCGAUUGCGAAGGCAGCAUACCGGCGCUCAACUGACGCUGAGGCACGAAAGCGUGGGGAUCGAACAGGAUUAGAUACCCCGGUAGUC